UACGUAUGGUGCAAGCGUUACCCGGAUUUACUGGGCGUAAAGGGAGCGCAGGCGGCGCGCCAAGUCUGAUGUGAAACCCCGGGGCUCAACCCCGGGCAUGCAUUGGAAACUGGCGGGCUGGAGUGCCGGAGGGGUAAGCGGAAUUCCUAGUGUAGCGGUGAAAUGCGUAGAUAUUAGGAGGAACCCCAGUGGCGAAGGCGGCUUACUGGACGGCAACUGACGCUGAGGCUCGAAAGCGUGGGGAGCAAACAGG
rnacentral:rRNA from 1 species